UACGUAGGGACCAAGCGUUGUUCGGAUUUACUGGGCGUAAAGGGCGCGUAGGCGGCAAUUCAAGUCAGCUGUGAAAUCUCCGGGCUUAACUCGGAACGGUCAGCUGAUACUGCUUUGCUAGAGUGCAGAAGGGGCAAUCGGAAUUCUUGGUGUAGCGGUGAGAUGCGUAGAUAUCAAGAGGAACACCUGAGGUGAAGACGGGUUGCUGGGCUGACACUGACGCUGAGGCGCGAAAGCUAGGGUAGCAAACGGG
rnacentral:rRNA from 1 species